rnacentral:lncRNA from 1 species
UCUCUUCCUUUUCUUUUGUCUCCAGCUGGCUUUUGUACUUGAGUUGUAGGUACUUACAUAAUGUAAAACAGAUGUUGAGAUGCAUAUUAAUACAAAGAGUUUAGGUAGUACUGUAAAAAAUUGAACUAGUAGUCUUACUUGGAUCACAGCCUUCUCGGAGUCUAGUGUUCUUUGUCCUUGAGGUAAUAAUAGAUCUGGAGGAACACUAAUGUCAUUAACUUGUCCAGUGGCUAAAUCAAGCAAAAACUCUGCAGGGUUCAUAGGUAAUUGCGGUAUGAAUCUCAAAGCCGAAAAAUACUCCAAAGACUCUCCAGCCUUUCCAUAGUACACCGGAUAUCCUUCUGCUAUCAGCAAAAGUUUGUCAAACAUGUGAAACAUUCUGCUUGAUGGCUGGUGAAUAGUUGUGAUUAUUGUUCUUCCACCCUGUAGACCACGCAACUUUAAUUUUGCAAGCACUUCUUCACUAUCAGAUUUUGAAGUAUUAGCUAUAUUACCUU